GAUGAACGCUGGCGGCGUGCCUAAUACAUGCAAGUCGAGCGAACAGACGAGGAGCUUGCUCCUCUGACGUUAGCGGCGGACGGGUGAGUAACACGUGGAUAACCUACCUAUAAGACUGGGAUAACUUCGGGAAACCGGAGCUAAUACCGGAUAAUAUAUUGAACCGCAUGGUUCAAUAGUGAAAGACGGUUUUGCUGUCACUUAUAGAUGGAUCCGCGCCGCAUUAGCUAGUUGGUAAGGUAACGGCUUACCAAGGCGACGAUGCGUAGCCGACCUGAGAGGGUGAUCAGGCACACUGGAACUGAGACACGGUCCAGACUCCUACGGGAGGCAGCAGUAGGGAAUCUUCCGCAAUGGGGGGAAGCCUGAAGGAGCCACGCCGCGGGAGGGAAGAAGGUCUUCGGGUCGUAAAACUCUGUUAUUAGGGAAGAACAAAUGUGGAAGUAACCAAGCACGUCUUGACGGUAACUAAACAAGAAGCCACGGCUAACUACGUG
rnacentral:rRNA from 1 species